CGACUCUGGUUCUCUUCAUUACGCACAAGCCUUUCGCCUUUUACUAAAGACUUCCGUGGAGGAGGAACACUUACGAGUUCAACAUAUUUUUGGAAGGGCUUUGCUUCUGGCAGAGCC
rnacentral:snRNA from 1 species